rnacentral:rRNA from 1 species
UCGCGGUGAAUACGUUCCCGGGCCUUGUACACACCGCCCGUCACACCAUGGGAGUGGGUUGCACCAGAAGUAGAUAGCUUAACCUUCGGGAGGGCGUUUACCACGGUGUGAUUCAUGACUGGGGUGAAGUCGUAACAAGGUAACCCUAGGGGAACCUGGGGUUGGAUCACCUCCUUACCUUAA